CAGAAUUAAGUAUAGCUGCAAACCUGCUAUGUGUGUGCAUUUUUUUGAUGGAAAUCACCCACUAGGCUGUAGCAUAUGUAUGGCUGAGUAAUAGCUUCUUCUGUGCUGAGCUGGCUGCGGCUCAUCGUUCGCUGCACAUUCACUCCGUGUUAAAGGCCAGACCCUGCUUCAUUACACAGUGUCUUAACCUUGUUUUGCCCUUCUAUCCAAUGACAGCUGCUUUGUUUCCUUUCGCUAGCAGUCAAACAUCACAAAUUCCUUCUCUGUAAAGCCAUUAAAAGAGAACCAACACCACCCCAAGUGGUUUCAGGACUAACUGAUUUAGAUGCUGGAGUCUGUUGCAGGGCCAAAAAUAACUCCCCAUUUCUUUCUCCUUCAUUGGUGAAAGGAGAAGAGAAAGUGGCCAAUGACAGAGACACAACUUCCCCGUAGGCACCAGAGACAAAUCUAUUUCAUAGCAGGAAAAAAAAAUAAUGCUCCUGAAAAAUGUUUCUUUGCUCGGGCCAAUAGACACAGAACCGCUGCAUGUAAUUUUGCUGAACCGAUGGUAUCACUUGAAUGGCUCACGGACUACAUAAAAUGCAUUACAUAAUUAUAUUUUUAAACACUGUCCCCAGCUGUGCUGAUGCACACAAAAGCUGUGUUUACAAUGGACUCUGCACAUGUAAUUAUUUUGUGGCACUAGCUCCGCGCAUUUCCUUGAUGGAUGCUCCAUGGUGCAUAAAAUUGUAGCUUUUAUCAAAGAUUCUUGGAUGUAUUCUUUGGCUGUUUCAGCUUUAAACACCCAGCUGUCCUCACAUGGGUGUGCAGGCCUGAUGCCUGGGAGGGGUAAGUUAUAGCAUCUGGGGAACACCUUGCUCUGGGAGCUGCGGGGGGGGACGGUGAUCAGCUGGAAGCAUGCUGAGCAGCAGAGCCUGCUGCUCCUCUCAGGGAGGUUUGCUGCGCUGUUCCUUGGGAUGUGGCACCUGCUCUGCUCCUAUUUGUCUUGCACAUCUUCAUCCUAGCCCCAUUAAGGCUGCAGCAACCCGACCCAGCCACUUUGCAGCACAGGGGGGCGAGGUGGUGCCUUGCAUCUGUGCAGGUGCAGGAGAGAAGGGGCUGCAGGCUGUGGUUGCAAAGUCAAACAGCGUGGCUUGCAGGGUACCAGACCCAAAGAUCAGCUUUGGUUUGUAUUCUGUUCCAUUUGCAUACAGAAAGCUCCCUUGGCUGUUCUCCAUCCUGUUCUGGAAUACCGAGUGUUUCUCCAUCUGAACGCAGUGGCUGAUGUGUGGGACUCAGCGAAGAGGACAGUGGGAUAUUUAUCUUAGAUCUGUUCCAGUGCUCUUGAGUAUUAAUAUCACUGUGAAAACCUAGAUGCUGGAAGGAUCGGUACGCAUCACGGUCCAAGAGUUUUGCCUGCCAAGCAGUAAAGCUUGGAAAUAAAUAAAGACAAAAAGUAAUAGUCCUGAGCAUCGGUUUCAAAGUAAUGGGAUAGCAGCACUGCUGGUAGCGACCUUUUUAUUACUAUCACUGCAGAGAACUGGCGGAUUUUUCUUGUCAAUAAGCAAGAUGGCUUGGCACCGUAUCUCUCAUCCCUUGGGUACGAGACUCCACAGAGGAAAUGCUGAUGUUGUCGUGAGCCAAUUUUUAAUAGCAGGUGUUUGGUUGGAACUCCAGCCUGCCUUGUGGCAGCAGGGAGUGCGAGUCCUUCUGUUACCAUUCCUUGCUCUUUUCAGCCCUGCGUUUGACUGUGGAAGCUGAGAGCCUGGGGGAAGUUGCGCCAUGUAAAGCAGUCAUUGCUCAAUAGUGAAUGAGUUAUUCCACAGCAAAUGGUCUGGCUGCUGGUACACCAAGUUUUCCACUCUCACAUGAAUACAGUCAUUUCCCAUCAUGGAAACUGUGUGGCUAUGGAUGCCCUUAGCAUUCCCCCUGUCUGGCAUGUUAAGUUUACAUACCAGCUUUGAGGCUGCUGGUGCGUUUUGCACCAAAGGGUCAGGCGAUGGAGGAAGAAUCUCUGGAGUGGAAAAAAUGUGGAACUGCAGAAGUUUAUUGUAUGUUUGUUUGCAUAGCCUGCCUUCCAGAUAAAUCGCAUCUCUCCUAGUACAGCAGCACUGGAAAAAGAGCCCUUGGAUGACCCACUUGGAGUCUGAGACACCAGAGGGGCUACUUCAGAAAAGAAAGCAGAGGAAGGCGCCAGAAGCCAUGCAGAAGAAACACAUCUGGAGUAAGCAGUGCUUUGUGUUGUCCACGUGUGUGCACGUGCUGCAUCUGGAUCACAAGCCAUUGUUAUUUUAUUGGGGAUAGUGUGUCUUGUACAUAUACGGAGUGCAUUUUUCACCCUGCAUGCUUCUUACUAAGGCAUAACGUAUUACUUUCUCAAGGGCCCAUUUCCUACUGCUCCCUUUAUCUUCCCUUAGGGAGCCCCACUAGAGUCCAUCAGCCACCUAGGCCAAAAAUAUGUUUUUCAAAUGCCUGAUCAUCUAAUACCAAUCAGCAUAAUUCCACCUGCUUUGAUAAAGCUGUGACUUAAGCCAGUGAAGAUCAAACUCCUUGAUAUUUAAUGCAACAUAGAUAAGCUCAAAAACUUGUGAGCAAGGAAUAUUUCUAGGUGUAACACGUUUCUGCCAUUACUCCACGAUAUUAGCUGCAGUUUCUUGCUGCAGAUGCUUGUUCAAGGCUCAUGUUUAUCUUUAGAGAAGAUGGAAAUAGGAGUUGCCUGUCUUUUGCAAAAUGCUGAUGCUGUGUACAAGCAGAAGUAAGAAUUCACGCAGAAGUGAAGACAAGUCUUGCAGUUCAACAGGAAGAAAACAGAUGUCUUUAGACUGCUGUUUGAACCUUGACCAUUGCCCUUUUGUACCUCUGAGUCACCAGAGGCUUCUGUUUCCAAAAACAAGAUAAUGCCUUGAAGAGCCAAAGUUCAGUGUAAAUUAUGUCACGACUAUAGGAGCUGAGGUGUCAUCUUUGCUGCAGCGAUUCCCUCUUGGAAAUGUUCGAUAAAGCGUGGAAGAAAGUGGCACUGACUCGAUAUAUCUCUGGAGCACUGCAAGUCCAUUCCUGCCAUACUACUAACUGAGGGAAGCGUUUUCUUUUUUUAAUUCCACAAAGCUCUAUAACUGUAUUAUCCAAGCAGCUAAGCACUCAGAUUACGUAAGCUGAACAUAAUAGGAGGUCUGUAAAACUUUGCUGCUCACAGUCUUGGAAAUUUCUACAUUGCUAUUUAAUGGUGACUCAGCUGCAGAUCUCCCAGAUGAUCUCGGAGGACACAUGAUGGGGUUCCGUCUUUGGGAGAGCAGAAUGUGGCCCUCAAGUAUGGCCGCGGCUGGGGCCUUGCUCGCCUGUGCACCCUCAGCUGCUCUGAGAGGUCUUGAGCUGCUGAUCAGCAGAUACUCACUGCCACACCUUCCGGUUCUGUCCUUCUAGGAAUGUUUACCUUGUGUUUUCAAAGCAAUCCACCUCCUGAUUUGCACAGCAGGAGAAUUUAACUGUCGUGCCAGAUAGCAACCUCAAAAUGUACUUUUACGGUCUGUUUCUUCUAAAGGAUAUUUUUGGCUGUAUAAGUGAUGUUUUAAGAAUAAUUUGACUAAGCACUAUUUUUAUGACAUGUAUAGCUUCAUAGCGCAUUACUAACCAUAUGGCCAAACACAGUGCCUGAAGUUACAUGGCAGGGUUUACUGCCCAGUCGGAAUGAAAAACAUCUAUUUUUGAAUGGCUGUGUAUUGGGGGGAAAAACAUGAGUCUUAUGGGAAGCAGCUGAAGGAACUGGGAUUGUUGAGUCUGGAGUAGAGGAGGCUCAGGGGAGAUCUUAUUGCUCUCUACAGCUGCCUGAAAGGAGGUUGUGAUGAGGUAGGUGUUGGCCUCUUCUCCCAGGUAACAGCAAGUGAUAGGACAAGAGGGAAUGGCUUCAAUUUGAGUCAGGGGAGUUUCGGUUGGGGUAUUAGGAAAAACUUCUUCACAGAAAGAGUGGUCAAGCCUUGGGACAGGCUGUCCAGGGAGGUGGAGCAGUCACUGGCCCUGGAGGUGUUGAAGGAAGGGGAAGAUGUUGUACUAAGGGACAUGGUUUAGUGGGAAAUAUUGGUGGAAGAUGGACGGUUGGACUAGAUGAUCUUAGAGGUCUUUUCCAACUCUAAUGAUUCUGUGAUUCUAUGAUUAUAUUUAAAAGUCACAACCUUGUGACCUUUCUUGGUUUUCUUGGUUUUCCCUUGGUCUUGAAUAAGGCUCAUCAUCGUAUCUUACCUAGAUCUUAUCUUGGCAGUGGUAAGAGCUCAUGAGGCCAGAUGGCUCAUGGAAUGACUGGUGAGGGCUUUGUGGUGAAACUAUGUCAACUGUGACUGAAGUUUAUCAUUGGCAUUAUUUGACAGUGUAGGGUAUGUGAGCCCAGCUUGCUGUAGAGAUGUGUCUUCAAUGUGAAAUCCACUGACUCAGUUUGUAUCAGUUAGUGUUGGGCAGAAACACCAAGCACUGAUGUGGCACAGUGAUGAACUGCGCUCAGAUGUAGCCUCUCUGGAUUAGAGCUGGGCUGUUCCAUGAGGCCAAUGAUGUUUCCAUUACUUUGUGUUUUCCUCUUCUGCAGACAAAUCAUUCCAGCCAGAUGCAUGCACACACUGGGAUGUUCAUGCAGAAACACAGACUGGUUCUCCCAGGAGCAGGCCCAACUACUCAGUUGGGACUGCCUUACUAACUGAGGCGUAACAGUAGUUAGGUGGGCCUCGAUGCAAAUGUCGCAGGGGGUUUCCCUGCAUGUUUCCAAUGUAUGACUCUACUGAAAUAUCCUCCUUCAGCUUGCUUGGUCACCAUCCCUGGCAUCUGCAAUGCUUUGUGGGUAGCUUUACUGUUCUCGUAAUACCAGCAGCUCUUGUACAAUCUCAAAUCAGCAGUUGUUCUCUUAAGUCAACGCAGGUUUCACCUAUCAUAUUGACUCAGUAGCACACUGCAAAAUUCACCUACUCCCUUAUUCUGCCAAUGAUCACAUCCUAUUACCUGUAAAGCGAUGAUCAACUUCCCCAUUUCUGCCAUAAAACGUAAUUUCCUGUGAGAAAGAACAAGCUCCACCUUCAGAGGGUUGCAAAUGAAACAGGGUGUGUUCAGGGGGUAGGAAGGGGACAUUUGCUGGUUUUGCUCUCGGGAGCCAGGAGACAAAGUGGGGAUCAGGGAAGUCAAGAGCUUUAGCCCUGGCUUUGGUAACGAUUUUCUGUAUGGCCUUUUGUGAGCUCUUUCACGUCUCCUCGUUCUGCCCAAGCCUAAAAUGGAGCUCAGAAUCGUCACUUUUCUCACACCUCCCCCUCCCCACACACGGAGGGAGUUGUGAGCAGGUUUAAUGUUUAUCUCGGAGGCUUUGAACGGUAUCAUCCAUCCAGGGAAUGUAUGCGGGCAUUCAGACCCCACAGUGAGCUUUAUAAAAUCGUCAAGAAAUAAAAAGGCAUCUAUAUUAAUCAUAAAUCAAGGACUGGAACAGAACACUUGGUUAACAAACCUGCGAAACAAGCUUUGUUUCAUUGGCUUGCGCUGCUUUAUGGUUCUGUUUGUGUAUGUGGAAGUGAUGUUCAGUAUUUUUAAAUGAGUCACAGGACUGGAAGAACAAAAAUAUUGGAUGGUAACAUAUAGCAGCAAAACAAUUACUCUUUUCAUUCUGACAAGCACAAUAACCAGAAUAGCUAGUUAGAGCUGGAGGUCUGGGCACAGAGCUCCUUUCGAUCUACCAGAGAUUUUCGAUCUACUUGCAAGACAGGCAAGCAGAACUGAAAUGUUAUAAUGAUAAAAGAUAGCAUUAGGUCAAACAAUAAAAUCAAGCAUGCCGUUGGGGUAUGGGUAUUUACAGGCAGGAAGGCUCUCCCGAUCAGUGCUGCAUGCAGAAUGCUCCCACAGCCAGCCUCGUCUAGCAGCUUUCUGUACCUUUAUCCAGAGGAGACUCCUUUCCACCCUGCUUGCUGCAUUGCACCACUGAUUUAGUGAAGACAUCAUCCUCAUAAGGAUGCUCUUCUAACUCACCUCUGAAAUCUGCUUGCUUUUCUCCUCUGACAAUUAGGUUUAAAUGUGCUGCAGCAAAGUACUCAUCCUUAACAGUCGUAUGGCUUUUUAAGUGAUAAACUGCAUUAGCAAAUUCCUUAUUAGAUAAUCUAUCAAAUGAGGUCAUACGUAAUUUUAGCAGUCUCAUCUUGAUUUAUAACACGAUCGCAGCAAAUUACGCAUAGGAGAGCAGCGUGCUGGCUGUCACACUCAGGUGCUCUCACUGUGCUGGGACAGCAGUGCCCAGGCUGGCCGGCAGCUGGCAGCCCUCCCUGUUGCCACAGCGGGACCCAGCUGACUUAGAGCCCUGGGGCUCAGCCCUGGCUUUCUUGGGACCCAUAGGACGUCGAGGCAGGUGUCUAAGCCCUUGCUCCAAACCUCCUAGCAGUAGUCCUUUGUGGUGUUCGUUCUGACAGGCUUUCCCCUUAAAUAGGGGCAUCAGCUCUCCAAAAAGCCAGCUGAUGGGUGGGGUGCCUGCCUGCAGCCUGGCUGCCCGCCAGCCAAAGCCCAAGUGAUGAAAUCCAGGGGGAAAGGGAGGGGAAACACCGCUUCAGAAGGACGCUGUGCUGCUGCUGCUGCUGCUGCUGCUGCAGAUCCUCCAUCCCCACAGUGGAGUUGCUCCCGGGACCGGGAGGAGACGCAAUUCCUAUCCCCCAGCUGCAAACUUCUUCCACAAACAUUAUUUUAUCCUUUGAGAUUUAUCUGUAACUCCCGCAGGGGGAGCUGCAAUAAAUUAUCUGGCCUCGCCCUUCUCCUCACCUGCUCUCACCUCACGUUGGUAUUUCUGGGGUCUGAGCUGUGCUGAGCCUCGAGGGCUCGUGUCAUCUGCAUGUCUCAGAAUAACUUAUGUCUCUCCCUCUGUACUUACGGCCAAACCCUGCCCGGGAAGGACAAAAGAGGAUGGAACGAGAUUUAUCCCUCGGCAUUGUAGGUAUCUGCCCCUAAGCUGUAAAAUAAAAGCUGAAUAAGAAUCUUGAUAACCAUUUCCUUGGGCAAUAUCAAAUAGAGGCCUAGCUAUCGCUGCAGGAAAACUUCUGGAAACUCUGAGUAGGCAGAACACCGCACUGCUUUUGGAGGAACGUUCCUGGAGUGAGGGACUGGAGAAAUCAAAGCAGUUCAUCGAGAAGAGUAAGCAAAGGGAACGCUUGCUGUGGAUGGCACUGCUGUUUUGCACACCCUAAGCUGUGUAUGGCAGAUUGCAGCAGAGCCUGGGGAAGGCAAUUAAAGACCCAGAUGAAGACCAGAACAUCAGACGUCCCUCUGGAGCCCACGUGCCCGAACUGCCGUUCCUCCCCACCCUAAUAUAAACAGCGGGGCAAAAGGGCUCAUUUCUCAGCUGCCACUGAGCAGCGUCGGCUGACGGCAGCGCCGGGACCCCCAGAGCCCUGCCCGGACCCCAGGAGGGGCCCGACCUCUCAGCCCUGCUCCCCGCAGGCAUGGGGGGCACAGCUCCAUCUCCGUGCCUGGCAGCGACGUGCCCACGGGCCCCCAGCAGCGAGCAGCCCGGGUUGGACGCUCGUGCUGCAGACCUGCCUCUGCAGAGGUGUUUGCAGCCAUUGGCACGGGCGCUGCAGAGCCGUUGCCUGGCAGCACGCGCGUCCUCUUCCCCGUGACGAGCGCUGAGCAUCGUCUCCAUCGACCCGACCGCCUCCCAGGCUUCAGCUCCCUGCCCGGGAUAGAGAGCCAAAGGCAGCCGGCGUGCGGGAUGCGGAGACCCUUGCGCUAAACCUCACAGGCUUGAAGGCUCAAGCUGCACGAGGGCAGGCAGGAGCUGCUCUCUUCUCACUGACCGUUUGCCACGACAUGAGAAUGAACAUCGUGCAACCAGCGACCUACAGCUACAGCUCUGUUCUCCGCAGCAUCCCCACCUUGAGCAGUGGCAGUGGCACAGCAAAGCCGGGCAAACCAAGAGGGGCAGGGACCAGCUGCAGGGAGGUGCAGGGAGGCAGCACGGAAGUUCACCCACCUUCAGCUUUCAUCCUGUUGCCAGAGCUGGCAGCUGUUAUCCUGGUUGCCAAUCUUCCUGUCCAGCUGUACAUCCUCCAGCCUGAAAACAUCUUCUUCAGCCUCUCAAGCUCACCGCUCGCACUGGCUAGCGUGUAUGGGCGGAUGGGAGAUUGGGCUGUCAGGCUGUCAACUUCCAUGAGCCCAAGCUCCUCGGUGAAAGGGAGAUGGCCAUUUUCCCAACAACGUCUCCAGCUUCCUUCUUUACAGCCAGUCAAGUCCAAUGACAUCAAAUAUUAAUCUGGCACACAACUUGGGCUGUCCAAAUGCAUUUUAUAACCAACAGCAUAUCAAAUCCUUGGGACCUGAUGACAAUCACUCCUUUGUUGUCACAUCCUUCAGUCACUUUAACCCAAAUUCUCAGCCAAUUCAAAGGAAAGAAUGGUGCUUCAGAGGACUGAUUACAGCAAAAGAGCUUCAAAACAUGAAAGGAGGGAAGGCAGAGCUGCAACUCAUCACAAAAGAUCCUACCAUAAAAUCUAGAGAAUGAACAAGAAGCCUUAGAUGAUCUCACAGCAAGAGGCUCUGUUGUUAUUUUGAGCAGAGGCAGAAUUUCUCUGCAGGGGCAGAAUUUGGAGCAUCCUGGCUCUGGUAUUUGGGCUUGCAGCUCAGAGUUCUCUGUACAAGACUACAGCCAGUGAGAGAAAAUUAAAAAUUGACCAUAAAUUAUUCAAAGGAAGCCAAGAAAUAAAAGAUAGGCUAAAGAAGAAUUCUUUUGAAUAACUUGAACCAAAAUCCUAAGCACAUUAGCUGGAAGAUUCAGAGAAAUAGCAUGAAGGAAAUUUGUUUAUAGUCUUGGAAGAAAAUGUGUGAACUCAGUUUAGUAAUAUACCUGGCACAGCUGAAGAAAGAGGAAGUAUCUACACCGUACUGGCACCACUACUGACCUUAUCAUAUGUGGAAUAGAUGGCACAGGAUCAGGAGAACAGAAACAGAUCCAUAGUCUCUUGGUGGAGAUGAUUUUGCAGGGCUGUGAUCCAAGCCAGAAGGCUGAGCAGGAGUCCACUUUCCAUGCACAAGCUACCACCGCAGAAAUGAUGUGCAAAAUGGCUCUUUUACUCUUCACUCAAGGCUUUUAAGGACAUUUGCAGACCUUGUACGCAGUGGGAAAGAGGCAGAGGAGGAGAGUGACUGGGCAGCCCUCCCUUCUUUCCAAGUGGAAGCGGCCUAGCAGGCUGUUUUUAUCUCCAGGACUCUUCCUGAAGGAUGUGCUGAAUUAAUGCCCCAAGCAGGAGUGCAGCUGAAGGCUCACCGUGCCCUACAGAGAAGUGACAACACAGCUGCGGGUGGCAGGAUCCCUCCCUUGGUCUUUGUGCCCUUCAGUGGUGGACGAAGGCUCCAGCGAGGUGUUUGCAGCCUACAGAGGCCAUGAGCCCGGUGCCUCUGCCUGUUGGUUCACCAAGCGAAGGCAACAGAGUCAAAGUAGCAGAAGGCCUGUGCACGAUGGGGCUGUGAUACUGGCCUGGGUGAGCAGCUAGCACUAAUUUGAGCAGCCCAAAGGUCACGACUAUUUAUGCAGAUAAAAGGUCAGUGGCAAGCUGGCAGGUGGCUGUGGGCUAUCUUGGUACGCGCUGCGCCCCGGGCGCUGAUGUCUGCGUCUGGUUCACAGUUAGUUUGUCUUUCCACAUGGACUUUCAGGCCAGGUUCUGGCUGAAAUAAAACACAACGGGGAAAGAAAUCUCUGGUCGUGUGAGUUGAUGCUGUUGGGAGACAGCUGCAGUUUUUGUGGCUUGGGCUCAUCUGUAGCUAAAUCAAACCUUUGAAUCAUUAUUUAUAAAAGACAGCCAAAUUCUGAACCGUUUGCUCAGUGUUUAGUCAGCUCUUACAUGGACAAACUCCUGUGAAAGCGUGCGUGAUGGCAGAUAAGGGAAAAACUGAAUCAGGUGCCCUGUUGAGAGGCAGCAUGUCUGGCCAGGAACUCCAGCAGCAGUGGGCGUCUGCACUGCAGGUGCCUGGGAAGAAGUCACCUCAGAGGGGCAGGACCUUACAGCACGGCCUGAAUUGCCAGAGCAGGUUCAGGUUAGCUGAAACAACAUCUAGGUGGGCGAAAAAGGGAAGCAAGUACACUAUGUUUAGUCCAGUCAGAUUCUAUGCUAUGUUUGAAACUUUUAUAGUCAGUCAGUACCAGUGCCGCAUCCUUUGCUCUCAUUAGAAAGCAAAAAUGUUUUCAACCUUUGGUUCCAGGAGUUGUCUGUCUGCCUAUACCAAUUUUAAACAAAAUCCUUUAAUGUUCUCCUGUAAUUUGGUCCAAUACAGCCUGGUCUCCAAGACAAAAUAUGCAAAAUAUUUUGUGACAUUUCAUUCCCCAAACAAAAGGUAAUGGGAAAACAUCAUUAUAUUGAUUUGUUUUUCAUCACAGAGGUAUUUGGCAGCAUGCCCUAAUUAAGGUUGUAGCAAUAAUUUUAUUAUAAGCACUGCUUUGCCUCCCCUGGUAAUUUUUUAAUAGGAGUUAGCUAUUAGUCUGUUAUUUUGGUUUGCUAAUAAAGAAAAAAAUAUGUUACAAUGGAAACCUCCCAUGUAGAAAGCAACCAAAGCUAGUUGUCUUCAGACCUGGAAAAGCAUUUCUUUUUUUCUGUCUUCCCAUUGGAAUGGAUGACCACUAAAUUCUUCCCUGACUGCUGUCUUCCUAGGCCUGCCCCCACACCCAGGGAAGUUUAAGCAGUGACUUGAGCACCACCUGCUAGGAUGUGUUUUGUCAAGACUGAUAUCUCUAUUAUACCCUUUCUUCACUUCAUAUUUGGCGGACUUGGCUAUAGGCAAACUGAAAUGAAUCUGCAGCAGUGGCAUAGUCUGAUAGGUGAAACAGACUAAUUUGUAUGUGUUUUCCCACUGAAAAUGGCAAAAUUCCAGCCACUGAACGUUCACGAGUAUUCUGCUCAUUGUGUUCAUCAAGCCAAAGAGUCUCCACAGGACAUUAGGGUUUGACCCGAUGUCCGCAGACACGCUGCACACAACCCAAGUGUGAUGGCACACUGGGUGGCCAUGCAGGACUUCCCUUCGAUGGAGCCUUCUGGCCCACCAGUGGGAGUGCAGGUGACUCCUGCAGACUUUCUCUCAAAUCUCUUUGGAGGAAAUUAAAAUAAGCCUUUGCAGAAACUGGAGAAAUCGGAAUGCACCCAGCCAUUUUCUGGAUUUAAUGCUACCUCUUGUGUUAUUGUCUUCAGUCUCUGAAAAACAGAACUGUCCAGUAGAUAAUGACUGUUAGAUUACUAAUUAGCACAUUUCUGUUAUCUUGGAGCAAAUACAUUUUUUAUGCUUUCCCUCCUAUUAAAGUAUUUCAGAAAACAAAACAGAAAAAGCAAAAUCUAAUUCAUAAUCGAGUGUUAUGGGCCAUCAAUUCUUGUAUUUCAAGAAUAUAGGCUGGAAAGGGGAACGUCUGCUGCUCCUGCCCAGGGUACCCUCCCACAUUCUGCAUCUCCAAGGAGAGACUGUUCCAGCAGGAUGAGCUGGUAUAGCGAG
ensembl:lncRNA